GACGGAAGGUGCAAGCGUUGCUCGGAAUCACUGGGCGUAAAGGGUGCGUAGGCGGCCGUGCAAGUCUGGCGUGAAAGCCCCGGGCUCAGCCCGGGAAGUGCGCUCGAAACUGCGCGGCUCGAGUGCCGGAGGGGAGAGUGGAAUUCCUGGUGUAGCGGUGAAAUGCGUAGAUAUCAGGAGGAACACCUGUGGCGAAAGCGGCUCACUGGACCACAACUGACGCUGAUGCACGAAAGCUAGGGGAGCAAACAGG
rnacentral:rRNA from 1 species